AGCAGCCGCGGUAAUUCCAGCUCCAAUAGCGUAUAUUAAAGUUGUUGCAGUUAAAAAGCUCGUAGUUGAAUUUCGGGGUUAGUAGGUUGGUCAUGCCUCUGGUAUGUACUGAUCUCACUGAUUCCUCCCUCUUGACGAACUGUAAUGUCAUUAAUUUGGUGUUGCAGGAAAUCAGGACUGUUACUUUGAAAAAAUUAGAGUGUUUAAAGCAGGCUUAGGCUUGAAUACAUUAGCAUGGAAUAAUGAAAUAGGACGUUUGAACCUAUUUUGUUGGUUUCUAGGAUCAACGUAAUGAUUAAUAGGGAUAGUUGGGGGCAUUAGUAUUCAAUUGUCAGAGGUGAAAUUCUUGGAUUUAUUGAAGACUAACUACUGCGAAAGCAUUUGCCAAGGAUGUUUUCAUUAAUCAAGAACGAAAGUUAGGGGAUCGAAGACGAUCAGAUACCGUCGUAGUCUUAACCAUAAACUAUGCCGACUAGGGAUCGGAUGAUGUUAAUUUUUUGAUGACUCA
rnacentral:rRNA from 1 species